UCGACUCAUCCCCGGGGAGAGUAGGCCAUUCGCCUGGGAGAUUCUAAAAUUGCGGAGGCUUGGUUUGAUCAAGCAGCUGAGUAUUGGAAACAGGCCAUAGCGCUUACACCUGAUAAUUAUAUUGAAGCACGUAAUUGGUUGAAGAUCACGGGGCGUUUCAAAUCCGAAACUCCUGACAGAUGGCCAGUGGCCCAAAGAAACGAAAGAAUCGGUUACAUUUUUCAUAGGAUCUCCUCUUAUAGAUGACUCAAAAAUCGAUCAGAGUUCUUUUUGUACCACUUUGCCUAUUUAUUCUUUUCUUUUUUUUAUCGAGUCAAAAAAUAUUCGAGUUAUAAAGUAUGAACUACCCCCUUGCUGUUGCAACACCUCCUAAAAAAGAGAGUUUCCCUUGGACUACAAACGGGAAAGGAUGAAAGCGAGAAUGACGAAAUUGUCCCUGGUGC
rnacentral:lncRNA from 1 species